rnacentral:lncRNA from 1 species
CUCUUCACCAAAGGCCCCUUGGGUCCUUUGGACAUGACAAAUCUCAGUGCUCUGGGUCACUGCAGCACCAGGGGCUCGUUUAGGUGCUGGAGUUCAGGAACCCCUUCCCAGUGGAGGGGUCAGGCGCUCCUGGGGCUGAACACCCAUCUGGCCACCCUCAGGACAUGCUGCUCCUGCUCACUGCGGGCUCCUCCUGCUCUCCAAGGGGAUGGCACCUCUCCACGUUCUUUUCUGUGACUCCAGACAGGCACUGAGGGUGAUCAUCAGCACUCCUGAGCUGGGAGCUGCUCUGGGGCUGCUGCCAGGCUCUGAGCCCAUGCCUUGGGAUCCUUGCACAAAUGUUGCUCAGGCGUUGUGAGACAGAAUGAUAGACGUGAGUCCUACAGAAAUAAAGCUAAUACUGAGCUUGCUUCUUUCCUUUCAGCAGGCUUUUGGAUUCCAGCAGUGUGGCACAGAAACCCUGCAGGGAUGAAGACACUUUUCCUCGUGGUGUUUGUCCCAGCCUGCCCCUGCCAGGUGUCUGCAGCAGGGGGAAGGACCCAGGGCUGUGGCCAGGAGCACCAUGGCUGGUGGUGAAUUGAACAGAGAGAAGAUGGUCACAUAUUUAGCAUGGAAGCUUUGUGCAUCUGUGGAAGCUGGGAACACUCACACAGCCUGGCAAGGGGAGCACGGGUACAGACUCAGUCACAUUUCAAGCAAGCAGUGUAUUCCCAUGACAGCAACUUCCCUCAGAACUGAAUCCAGGGUCACAGACAGAGCUUUGUAUCCAUUUAUUCUCUAUGGAUAUAGAUCCCAGACUUUAGGGGAUGCUUUACAAUGCAGACCCAGAAAUGCCAACUGCCCCAAACCCCAACUGAUUCUGGCUGCAGGAACCACUGUUUGCUCCAGCAUCAUCUUUCUUUUGGCACCAAGCUCCUGUUCGAGACCUUUUAGUAAACAGUAUUUUGGAAAUGGACAUGAUAAGAGAGAAGUAUUAUCAGCAAAACUUGUGUUUUUUCAGUAG